AGUGCUGGGAUUACAGGCGUGAGCCACCGCGCCCAGCUGAGUUUGUAGCUUUUUACUGAGUAUUUUCAAUUCUGGGACUUCAUUCUGGAGAGUCAUGUCAUAAGCAAGCCAAUUUUUCUACGUGAGGAUGUGUUUUGCAGCUUUGCUUGCAACUGUGAAAAUUGGAAAUAAACUCAAUGUCCAUCCGUAGGGAAGUGAUUAAUUAUAUUGUAUAUCCACAUGGAAAAGUGAGGGACUAAUUUAAAAAAAAAAAAAAAAAAAAAGAAUGGCCAGGCAUGGUGGCUCAUGCCUCUAAUCCCAGCACUUUGGGAGGCCGAGGCGGGUGGAUGACCUGAGGUCAGGAGUUCGAGACCAGCCUGGCCAACAUGGUGAAACCCCAUCUCCACUAAAAACACAAAAAUUAGCCAGGUGGUGGUGCACACCUGUAAUCCCAGCUACUUGGGAGGCUGAGGCAGGACAAUCACUUGAACCCAGGAGGCAAAGGUUGCAGUGAGCUAAGAUUGGGCCACUGCACUCCAGCCUGGGUGAUGGAGUAAGACUCCAACUCAAAAAAAAAAAAAAAAAAUGAGGCAGAAAGUUUAUGUAAUGACAUAGAAAGUUAUGUAGACCAGUGCUAGAAAGUGCUACCCAAUAGAACUUUCUGCAAUGAUGGAAUGUUCUAUGCUGUGCUGUCCAAUACAGUAGCCACUAGUCACAUGUAGUACUUGAAACGUGGCAAGUGCAAUGGAGAAACUGAGUGUGUAAUGUAACUAAAGUAAUUAUUUAUUUUAUGUUAUUCAUUAAUUUAUUUUUAGAGACAGGGUCUUGCAAUCUUGCCCAGGCUGGUCUUGAACUUCUGGCCUCGAGCAAUUCUCCUUCCUCAGCCUCCCAAGAAGCUGGGAUGUUAGGUGUGUGCCACUGCACCCCGCUAUUUAUUUGAAUUUAAAUUCCCACAUGUGGCCUAUGAUAUUGUACUGGACCUCACAUAUUUUAAAUGUGUUUUGAGGACAGGCUAGUUGAAAAAUGAAGAGUAUGAUUCCUCUAAAAGAUAAUAAAUAAUAUAUGUUAAUUUAGAAAUUUUUAGAAGUCAGACAGAAAAUACACUGAACUAGUAAUAGUGGGUUUCCCUGAGAUAUACUGAAGACUUUUUUUUUUUUUUUUUGAGAUAGAGUCUCCUUUUGUUUCCGAGGCUAGAGUGCAGUGGCAGGAUCUCGGCUCCCUGCAACCUCUGCCUCCUGGGGUCAAGUGAUUCUCCUGCCUCUGCUUCCCGAGUAGCUGGGACUACAGGCGUGUGCCAGCACGCCCGGCCAAUUUUUGUAUUUUUAGUAGAGACAGGGUUUCACCAUAUUGGCCAGGCUGGUCUUGAACUCCUGACCUUGUGAUCCACCCACCUCAGCCUCCCAAAGUGCUGGGAUUAUAGGUAUGAGCCACUGUGCCUGGCCAUGUUGAAGACUUUUAAUACCAUAUAUUCAUACAGUAUUUGAAUUUUUAAAUAAGGAACAUAAUUUGUUUUGAAAUAAACACUACAAAAUAAAGUCAAACUCUGAAAUUCUAAAUUGCUUCAAGUUAAAUGAACCGAGAGCGUGGUUGGAGGAGAAACCUGAGAGAAUCUUCUGGAAGAAUUACCAGAAUUUCAUGUACUCUGAGGAAGAUGCUGGGGCUGACAGGUUUGAAGCCACCAGGUGGGGUUAACAGGGUACCAUAGGGGCUCUUAGGAGGUGGGUUUAGGAAACAAUUUUCUUUUUUAUUUUUUUUAUGAUGGAGUUUCACUCUUGUUGCCCAGGCUGGAGUGCAAUGGUGCAAUCUCAGCUCACCACAACCUCUGCGUCCUGGGUUCAAGUGAUUCUCCUGCCUCUGCUUCCUGAGUAGCUGGGAUUACAGGCAUGUGCCACCAUGCCUGGCUAAUUUUGUAUUUAUAGUAGAGAUGGGGUUUCUCCAUGUUGGUCAGGCUGGUCUCGAACUCCUGACCUCAGGUGAUCCGCCCACCUCAGCCGCCCAAAGUGCUGGGAUUACAGGUGUGAGCCACCACGCCCAGCCUAGGAAACAAUUUUCAUAGAGACAAAGAGAGCUGAACUCUACUGCUCUGCUCCUCUGGUGGGUUGCAAAUUCUAGUAUAGUGUCUUCUUACUGUAUCCCAGUGCUUAGCACAAUGACUAGCACAGAAUCACUGUGCAGUAGACAGGAAUGAAAGCCUGACAAGAUGCUUCAAAGCCUUCAUUACUGGGAAUUCAGCAUCCAAGUUUAAACAUGGUCUCUGUUGGUACCAAAGCGCACCCAGGUUUUAAGUAUUUUAAAAGAGUGCCCAAAAUAUAAUGGAAAGAGGCCGAUACUUUCUUUUGCUAGGCCCUCCCUGCCAAGUCUAAUAAACUGAUAGAUGUAAAUUAGCAUUGGGAGGAUGGGCAUUGUGGGGAAGGACAGAAAUCUCUCUUUGCCUUCAGGAAGUUGCAAUUAGGUAGAUUGACAUUGUGGGAUAGAGGUAGGGGUGAGGAUAACAGAUUUUUUUUUUUUUUUUUUGAGAUGGAGUCUUGUUCUGUCAAGCAGGCUGGAGUGCAGUGGCGUGAUCUCGGCUCACUGCAGCCUCCGCCUCCUGGGUUCAAGUGAUUCUCCUGCCUCAGCCUCCUGAGUAGCUGGGAUUACAGGCAGUGCCACCACACCCAGCUAAUUUUUGUUGUUGUUGUAUUUUUAGUAGAGACAGGAUUUCCCCAGGCUGGUCUCGAACUCCCGACCUCAAGUGAUCCACCUGCCUUGGCCUCCCAAAGUGCUGGGAUUACAGGUGUGAGCCACUGCACCCGGCCUGAGGAUAACAUAGAUCUAAAGCCCCUUGAUGUGGAGAGUUUUUUCUUAAACUUUAAAGGUAACGGUAUUCUCCACACUAGCAGGGGCAGAGGAAUUUCAGGGAGUGCUCUGAUUAGUGUAGUGUGAUUUCUUGUUCAUCCCUGAACCAUGAGGAAGGCAGUGUUGAUGGUAGGGGCGUGGAAUACAGGUCUCUGAUUGGCUGAAUUGGGUGGGUAGAUGGGGCGUGUGCAGUAAGGCAACAUGAUUGACAGCUUCCCCAUGCCCUAGUGGAGUCAGGAAGAAGUUCCCCAAAGGUAGUGGGAUGGCUGAUGGAGGAAAAAUUUUGCCGGGAAGACGAGAGCAAUGUGCCGCACAGCUCCAGGGGCCGCCAUUCUCACAGAAUCACACAGAUAUGUACAUCCUUCUUCCUUGCUUAAAAUUCCCAAACUGCACCUCAGCUGCCCAGUAUUAAUACAGUAAAACAGACUUACCCAUCCCUAUGGGAGUCACCUCAGCCUCAGAGGCACCCCUGUCUCCAUCCCAUUAUCUCUGGAUGACGUGGCUUCUGCUGAUUUAGUCAGGAUGUGGCUUCUCAGGAGCUAGUAGCCUGUGGCCAAAGGAUACAUUUAUUUACCCCUAAAUUAUACACUCCUAUUAUAUCCACAAUUAUGUACUCCACACAGUAUAUGGUGGUCCAGUGUAUAAAUAUGGAGGCAUAACCAGAUAAUUGGAAUCUAAUCAUUCUACAAAUAUUAACUAGGGCCCCACCACGUGUUGGACCUUUGUUUUUAUCUCUCUAGGUCUCAAUUUCCUCAUCUAUGAAAUGAACAUAAUGCCGUUUGAGGAUUCAGAGGCAGUACACAUCAAAUGUUUAACACAAGUACCUGGCACCCAGCACACACUCAAUAAAUAAUAGUUGUGCUGGGCAUGGUGGAUCACGCCUGUCAUCCUAUGGGAGGCCAAGGUGGGUGGAUCACUUGAGCUCAGGGUCUCACUAUGUUGUCCAGCCUAGGAGACUAGCCUGGGCAACAUAGUGAGACACUGUCUCUACAAAAAGUACAAAACAUUAGCCAAGUGUGGUGUCUGCCUGUAUCCUAGCUACUUGGGAGGCUGAGAUAGGAGGAUUGCUUAAGCCGAGGAGCUUGAGGCUGCAGUGAGCUAUGAUCACACCACUGCACUCCAGCCUGAGCCACAGAGCAAGACUGUCUCAAAACAAAAACAAAAAACUAAAAAAAAACCCCCACAGCUGUUAUUAGUGUUCCACCAUGCCUGGUGACCCUCAAUUAUGUAGUUACUGAGUUUUUUGUUUUUAUUUUUUUUGAGACAGUCUCUCUCUGUGAUCCAUGUUGGAGUGCCGUGGCACAAUCUCGGCUCACUGCAACCUCUGCCUCCCGAUUCAAGCAAUUCUCCUGCCUCAGCCUCCUGAGUAGCUGGGAUUACAGGCACGUGCCACCAUGCCUGGCUAAUUUUUAUGUUUUUAGUAGAGACGGGGUUUCACCAUGUUGGUCAGGCUGGUCUCAAACUCCUGACCUCGUGAUCCACCUGCAUCGGCCUCCCAAAGCGCUGGGAUUACAGGCAUGAGCCACAGCGCCCGGCCUGAGUUUUAAGUAUGUUACAUUAUAUGUAGGAUGCCAAGAAAAUAAGACAUACUUCUUUCCCUUCCGGAAAAAGCAGGCCAUUUGGGAAGGCAAGUCUCUCACUUGUAUAGAUCAGAGAUAAUCCCAAGAAGUGGGUGCCAAGGCACUCCUAGAUAAGCUGCCCCUGCUCCUAGAAACCUGAUUGGUUGCAGUGAAGGCCAGUUGGGAAAGCAACCCUAUUGUAUGCCCUCAGCUAUGGAGUCCUCACAGUCACGGUCACAGGGUAUUGCUUCAUUAAGCUUCUCUGCUCUUCUUCUCCAUGAAUAGACUAUCUCCCCAUCAAUCCAAUUCUUUGUGUGUGUGUGUGUGUGUGUGUGUGUGUGUGUGUGUUUUUAAAUGGAGUUUCCCUCUUGUUGCCCAGGCUGGAGUUCGGUGGCAUGAUCUCGGCUCACUGCAACCUUUGCCUCCCAGGUUCAAGUGAUUCUCCUGCCUCUGCCUCCUGAGUAGCUGGAAUUAUAGGCGCCCGCCACUAUGCCCAGCUAAUUCUUUGUAUUUUUAUUAAUUUUGAGAUCAAGUCUCUCUGUCACCCAGGCUGGAGUGCAAUGCCACGGUCUCAGCCCACUGCAACCUCCUCCUACUGGGUUCAAGCAAUUCUCCUGCCUCAGCUUCCUGAGUAGCUGGGAUUACAGGCGCCCACGACCGCGCCCAGAUAAUUUUUGUAUUUUCAGUAGAGACAGGGUUUCACCAUGUUGGCCAGGCUGGUCUCAAACUCCUGACCUUGUGAUCCGCCCACGUCAGCCUCCCAAAGUGCUGAGAUUACAGGCCUGAGCCACUGCGCCCAGCCUAAUUUUUUGUAUUUUUAGUAGAGACAGGAUUUCAUCAUGUUGGCCAGGCUGGUCUCAAAUUCCUGACCUCAGGUGAUCUGCCUGCCUCAGCCUCCCAAAGUGCUGGGAUUACAGGUGUGAGCCACCGUGCCUGGCCUCUCAAUCCAAUUCUUUGGAUUCUCAGCAAACAGUUUGAUUGUUUUCAAAAUCUAUCAGAGAUGAAUACAUGGUAAUUGACUCAUUCAAAAAUAUAUAUUGACUGCUGGCUUCACCAGUACAUAUGCCAAAAACUGGAACGAUACAGAGAUUAGCAUGGCCCCUGAGCAAGGGUGACUGGCAAAUUCACAAAGCGUUUCAUAUGUGUAUAUAUAUUGAGCACCUACUAUGUAUUACACAUGCCUAUAAGCAAAAGGGAGGCAGGAGUGAGCAAGGCAGAUAUUGACUUUUUGGUUGUUUUUUUUUUCAAGAUGGAGUCUUGUUCUGUCAUCCAGGCUGGAGUGCAGUGGUAUGACCCGGGCUCACUGCAACCUCUGCCUCUCAAGUUCAAAUGAUUCUUCUGUCUCAGCCUCCCAAGUAGAUGGGAUUACAGGCACGCACCACCACACCCGGCUAAUUCUUGUAUUCUUAGUAGAGACGGGGUUUCGCCAUGUUGGCCUGGCUGGUCUUGAACUCCUGACCUCGUGGUUCGCCUGCCUCGGCCUCCCAAAGUGCUGGGAUUACAGGUGUGAGCCACCGCACUCGGCCCCAGAUAUUGACAUUUUGAUGGGAAAGAAGGACAAUAAACAGAAAUAGAUACACAAUCUUUCAGGAAAUGAUAGAGCUCUAAAGAAAAAGAAAGCAAGGUAAGGGGGAGCACAGGGACUUAAAAAUGUGUCUGCAAAUUCCUUGACGCUCCUCCCUGCAGAGGAUGAAGCUAGUUUCCUUCUCCUUGAGCAUGGGCUGGUCUGCAUGCCCACAUCUAGUGAACAGAAUACAGCCGAGUGAUGUAAUGUCGCUUCUGAGGGUCCGUUUUUGCCCAGCUCUCUUUCUGUCUCUUGGGAUGCUUGCCCUUGGAAUCCAGCCACCAUGUUGAGGGAAGCCCAAGCCACAAGGAAGCCACAUUAGAGGUUCUGAGUGAGUGACAGCCUCAGCUGCACUUGGGUGACAAAGAGCAUGUGAUCUGUCCUCAGCCUCUGACUCUUUUUUGUUUUUGUUUUUUUGAGGUGGAGUUUUGCUUUUUGCCCAGGCUGGAGUGCAAUGGCACGACCUCAGCUCACUGCAACCUCCACCUCCCGGGUUCAAGCGAUUCUCCUGACUCAGCCUCCCGAGUAGCUGGGAUUACAGGGGCGCACCAUUAUGCCCCGCUAAUUUUUGUAUUUUUAGUAGAGACAGGGGUUUUGCCCUGUUGGCCAGGCUGGUCUCGAACUCCUGACCUCAGGUGAUCCGCCUGCCCUGGCCUCCCAAAGUGGUGGGAUUACAGGCGUGAGCCACCGCGCCCAGCCUAGCCUCUGACUCUUAACAGCUGUAGUCCCAAUAAUUGUGGACGGAGAAAGCUGUCUCCACUAUGCCCUUUCUGAAUUCCUGGCUCACAGAAGCCAGGUGAAAUGAUAAAUCAUGAUUAUUGUUUUAAGCCAUUCAUCUUGGGGAUAAUCUUUUACACAGUAAGGAAUAGUUAAUAAAGGGGAGAGGGCGGGGCAUGGUGACUCACACCUGUAAUCCCAGCACUUUGGGAGGCCAAGGCAGGCCGCUCCCUUGAGGUCAGGAGUUUGCGACCAGCCUGGCCCACAUGGUGAAACCCUGUCUCUACUAAAAAUACAAAAAUUAGCUGGGCGUGGUGGUGGGUGCCUACAGUCCCAGCUACUUGGGAGGCUGAGCCAGGAGAGUCGCUUGAGCCCAACAGGCGGAGGCUGCGGUGAGCUGAGAUCCCACCAUUGUACUCCAGUGUGGGUGACAGAAUGAAACUCUGUCUCAAAAUAAAUAAAUAAAUAAAUAAAUAAAAGAUAAAGGGGCGAGAGACUGAGGUGGAAGGUGGUAGGAGAGUGAGUGCUAAUUAAACAGGGUGGUCACGGCAGACCUUUUUGAUGAGGGGAUAUCUGAGCAGAGACCUGGAUGAAGCGGGGCAGCAAGUGACGUGGAUACAGGGCAGAAGCUUUCAAGGGGAGAGAAGGGCCAGGGCAAAGGCUCUGGUGCAGGAAUGCGCUUGUGGUUCAGUACAGGGGCCAGUAUGGCUGGAGCAAUAUGGAAGAGAAACACAGUGGCAGGAAAUAAGAUCAAAAAAAGGGGUGAGGAGAAAUUGCAGGCUAUGUAGACCUUUGCAGGGAAUUGAGCAGAGAAUGCUGCAAUAUGAUCUCAGCUGAAGUUAAGGCUACUUCGGCUGCUGUACAGAAAAAUAGCAGUUAGUGAAAGCAUGGAAGGAGGGAGAAGCCAGCUGGGAGGCUACGAUGGUUGUCCAGGUGAGACAUGGACGGUGGCCAGCACUAGUGAGGUGGAGGAAGUGAGAGGUAGUCAGAAUAUGGAUAUAUUCAAGGUAAUGCUGAUUGGACUCACUUUUUGAUAGAAGCAGGGUAUCAGAGAAGCAGAGGCUGGCAGAGCGGAUGAGCUCUAGGCGGGACUCAAUGUGUGGACCAUAGACCAGCAGCAUCAGCAGCAUCUGCAUCACGUAUGAGAAAUGAAGACUCUCGGGCGCUGCCUCUACCUACUGAAUUUUAGCAAGACUACCAGGUGUUCCCCAUGCACAUCAAACUUUGAGAAAUGCUAUUCUAGGUUGCUCUCAAGUCUGGCUGCAGAUUUGAAACACCUGGCAAGCUUUUAAGACACGUACCAACGCUAGGUCUGGAGGUGGAGGGGCUGUUUGUUGGUAUUCAUAUUUUUUAGCUCCUCAAGUGACCCUCAUCUAAUCCUUGGAUCCCCAUCCAGCCUUUCCACAAACUCUAUGGGUUCUGACCUUAAAAUAUAGCCCAGUGUUACAGCUCUUUUAGAAUUUGUCUAGCAGUCUUUCCAGUUUUUGCCGGAAAGCCCCUCUCACGCUUAAAAUAAUAAUAAUAAUAAAAUAAAAUAUAUUUUAAGUCUCACGCCUGCAAUCCCAGCACUUUGGGAGGCUGAGGCGGGCAGAUCACUUGAGGUCAGGAGUUCGAGACCAGCCUGGCCAACGUGGUGAAACCCCAUCUCUACUAAAAAUACAAAAAUUAGCAGGGUAUGGUCGUGGGCACCUGUAGUCCCAGCUCCUCAGGAGGCUGAGGCAGGAGAAUCGCUUGAACCUGGGAGGCGGAGGUUGCAGUGAGCUGAGAUCGUACCACGGCAUUCCAGCCUGGGUGACAGAGUGAGACUCUGACUCAAAAAAAAAAAAAAAAAGAGAUGAGGUCUUGCUAUGUUGACCAGGCUGGUCUCGAAUUCCUAGCCUCAAGUGAUUCUGCUGCCUCAGCCUCCUGAGUAGAUGGGACUACAGUUGUGAGCCACAGUGCCUGGCUCCCACCCUCAUUUAUGUUAUUUUUGGAUUGAGUUUUCCUUUUGGUGUACAGUUUUUGUUUAUUUGUUUGUUUUUUCUGAGACAGGGUCUCACUCUGCCACCCAGGCUGGAGUGCAAUGGUGUGAUCUCAGCUCAUUGUAACCUCGGCUUACUGCAACCUCCGCCUCCUGGGUUCAAGUGAUUCUCCUGCCUCAGCCUCCCAAGUAGCUGGGAUUACAGGCAUGCACCACCAUGCCCAACUAAUUUUGGUAUUUUUUGGUAGAGACGGGGUUUCACCAUUUUGGCCAAGCUGGUCUCAAACUCCUGGCCUCAAGUGAUCCGCCCACCUCAGCCUCCCAGAGCCUGGGAUUACAGGCGUGAGCUGACGUGUUUUAACUCAUCUAUCAAUUUGUGUUACUAUCAGGAGGCAGACCAGUUCCGGCACUCUGAAGAGCUGCCAUGGGACACCCUUUUUAUAACCACACCAUCCUUCUACACCUAAGUGAAGAUCUGGUGCUGGGAUUACAAGGGCAGGAUGAGUGAACUCAGGUGUGAUGAUUGAAGACUUAUGGGCCAAGAGACCCAGCAGGUCAAGAUAGAGACAUUUUUCCAACCUCAAUCUAGAACUCAAUGAGGAUAGCAAAUACAUUUCAUCUGAUUGUGCCCACUCCACCCAACUGCCUGGCAGGCUGGAUUGUGAAGGACUCUAAUGCAUAUCAGGGCUCAGCUGAAGAGUGUAAUGGUUGAUUAGUGAUGCCUCUUGUGGACACAGGCCAAUGGGAGGGGGUGCCUGUGCUGGAGAGUGUUGUUAGUGUCGGGGCUGAUUGUCUACCAAGAGGGCGGGGAACGCCCUAGGGGAAUGGGAGAGAAAGCCGAAAUCAGACACCCAUACAUAUUUUUUUUUUUUUGAGAUGGAGUUUCGCUCUUGUUGCCCAGGGUGGAGUGCAGUGGUGCAAUCUCGGCUCACUGCAACCUCUGCCUCCUGGGUUCAAGCGAUUCUCCUGCCUCAGCCUCCCGAGUAGCUGGGAUUAACAGGCACCCGCCACCACUAAUUUUUGUAUUUUUAGUAGAGAUGGGGUUUCGCCAUGUUGGCCAGGCUGGUCUUGAACUCCUGACCUCAGGUGAUCUGCCCACCUCAGCCUCCCAAAGUGCUGGGAUUACAGGUGUGAGCCACCACCCCUGGCCCAAUAUAUAUUGGAUAUUAGAUCUGAGAUACUCCAUCUUUGGAAUGUUUAUACCAUCUGUCUUCAGUUGUGCUCAGUAACAAGAAUCAUGACUUCCUUAUAAAUGCAUAAAAUCUCAGGGAGACAGAGAAUUAUGUCUGUGUGAGGAUUUACAGUAGUGCUUAAAAAUCCCAGAUUGAUUACAAGCUAUCCCAGAUGGCUUCAAACACAACAAUACUGAAAGGAAGCAAGUUUAUCAUCAAAGAGAAAACUAGGAAGCAACUGUGGGAAAUCACAGUUUGUCUAGAUAAGAGAAGUCUACAAAGAGGCAGCAGGAGGCAUUUGAACUGUUUUGUAUUCUUAUUGUAGUGGUGGUUACACAACUCUGAAAGUAUGUUAAAACUCAUAGAACGUACAUACAUAUAUAAAGUCAAUAAUUUAAAAAUCUAAAAUCUAUUUAGCCAUGAAAUAUGAUGCUAUAGAACUUGGUUUGCUGCUGGGCAUAGUGGCUCAUGCCUAUAAUCCCGGCACUUUGGGAGGCCGAGGUGAGUGGAUCAUGAGGUCAGGAGUUCAAGACCAGCCUGGCCAACAUAGUGAAACCCUGUCUCUACUAAAAAUACAAAAAUUAGCCAGGUGUGGUGGCGCAUGCCUGUAGUUCCAGCUACUCGAGAGGCUGAGGCAGGAGAAUCUCUUGAACCUGGGAGGCGGAGGUUGUGGUGAGCCGAGAUCAUGCCACUGUACUCCAGCCUGGGCAACAGAGCCAAAAAAAAAAAAAAAAACAUUAAAAAGUUGGUUUGCCAAAAUGUGGUACACACAGAGCUGGUUGUACACAAGAUGAUAUAAGACGAAACGUAGAUGAACAUUUGAAUUGUGUAGUUAUGUAUUUGCAUUAAUUCAUAUUAGAAGAAUGUCUAGUUUAUCAAGCCUAUAACUUCAAAAAGACAAUUAUAUAAGGUUAGGCUAAGUAGAAAUUUGAGUUGCUUUAAAGGAAAAUAUAAAGUAAAUAAUUAUACAGGUUUUAUGCAUGUAGACAAGAUUUUUGAUCGGGGUAUGGGAAUAAAGUUAUUUGUCUGAAAAUCCUACCUUGACUGAGUGUGGUGGCUCAUGCUUGUAAUCCCAGAAUUUGUGGGGGGCGGCCAAGACAGGAGGAUUGCUUGACCCCAGGAAUUUGAGGCCAGCCCUGGCAACACAGUGAGACCCUGUCUCUACAAAAAAAAUAGAAAAAUUAUCCAGGCGUGGUGGCGUGUGCCUGUGGUCCCUGAUACUCCAGAGGUUGUGGUAGGAGGAUGGCUUCAACCCAGGAAUUUGAGGCUGCAGUGAGCUACAACUGUGCUACUGCACUCCAGCUUGGGUGACAGAGUGAGAC
rnacentral:lncRNA from 10 species